UAUCCUUCACAGUAAGUUUUGUAGUCAUAGAAUCAACUGACUUUUUCGUGACAUCCCCUACAGUACCAAGAUGCACAGCUGAAUCAGAUCGACCUACAAACUCCUUGACGCCUGCAUUAUUUUCCACAUUCACUUCUUCUGCAGUUUGUAAGGAGGUGUGACAAACGAAAAUUAUCCUUAGGACUUGUUUUAUUCAGAUCUCUGUAAUCAAC
rnacentral:lncRNA from 1 species